rnacentral:rRNA from 1 species
UGUUUGGUUGUUCGCGAGCGCUGCUCACCCCAAGUCCAUCAAUGAGUACGGUAGUACAGACAUGGCCCAUGGAGGGUGAAAGGCCCGUUCGGGUGGAGAUUCGGCAGGCCAGUGCUUCUCUGGGUAGACCUUGGAGUCGGGUUGUUUGUGAAUGCAGCCCAAAGUGGGUGGUAAACUCCAUCCAAGGCUAAAUACAAGCACGAGUCCGAUAGCGAACAAGUACCGUGAGGGAAAGUUGAAAAGUACUUUGAAGAGAGAGUUAACAGUGCGUGAAACCGCUCAGAGGUAAGCAGGUGGAGUUGAACUGCAAGCUUUGAGAAUUCAGCUGGUGAGGUUGGUUUGGGCUUGGUCAAAUUGGUUGGGCCCCGAAGUACGUUAAACCACGUGUCCUUUCCCUUUGGGUUGGGAUGUGCGAUACACUUACCAAGUGUUGCACGCUUUGGGUGUUCAUCGAGCCUCCUUGUCAGUGCACUUUCUCAGAGUGGUCACCACGACCGACGCCGCUGUCAGGCUGUCAUAGUUAAACCGGUCUUGUAGUGUCCUUGUGGCAUUGCCUGGUCGGGAUGGCAGGUAGCUUGUUGGCUCGCUUCGGCUUGCUUUCGAGUGUAAUCAGCUGACUGUGACGGUUCUGUGCAGUGCGUCGGAGACGGCGGCCAGUGGUGUGUGCAUGCGUGCCCGAUUUGUUGGCGUACCCUGGUUUGGUUUCUGUGUUGCCUGUGAUAGCAGGCCUAGUUAUGGCUGGGGUUCGUUCGGCGAAUGGUUGCGUGUGUGGCACUUCCCAAGGUCCAAUAGUCUGUGGUGUAGUGGUAGACUAUCCACCUGACCCGUCUUGAAACACGGACCAAGGAGAGUAACAUGUACGCGAGUCAUUGGGCCGUAACGGAAACCCACAGGCGCAGUUGAAAGUUAAAGGGUCGGGCUGCUC